GAUGAACGCUGGCGGCGUGCCUAAUACAUGCAAGUCGAGCGAACGGACGAGAAGCUUGCUUUUCUGAUGUUAGCGGCGGACGGGUGAGUAACACGUGGAUAGCCUACCUAUAAGACUGGGAUAACGUCGGGAAACCGGAGCUAAGACCGGAUAAUAUUUUGAACCGCAUGGUUCAAAAGUGAAAGACGGUCUUGCUGUCACUUAUAGAUGGAUCCGCGCUGCAUUAGCUAGUUGGUAAGGUAACGGCUUACCAAGGCAACGAUGCAUAGCCGACCUGAGAGGGUGGUAGCCCACCCUGGAACUUGGACACGGUCCAGACUCCUACGGGAGGCAGCAGUAGGGAAUCUUACGCAAUGGGCGAAAGCCUGACGGAGCAACGCCGCGUGAGUGAUGAAGGUCUUCGGAUCGUAAAACUCUGUUAUUAGGGAAGAACAUAUGUGUAAGUAGCUGUGCACAUCUUGACGGUACCUAAACAGAAAGCCACGGCUAACUACGUG
rnacentral:rRNA from 1 species